UAUAAAGAGUAUCUCUGUGAAGAGCCUAUCU
rnacentral:piRNA from 1 species